GUCUUAGAGCAAGUUUGUAUAGCAGGUAUAGGUGAGGUUGGUUUGAAAUCAGAAGAACUGGAUUUGAGUCUCAAAUCCAGUUUUCCCUAUUUCUGCGACUUAUGAUAACUCCCAAUUUCUUUGAUCCUCACUUGCCUUAUCUAUAAAAACUGUGCUAUUACUUCCCUAUCCAUUUUACAAGAUUGUUGGGAAGAACAAAAAAGACGUCAUAUUAGAAACUAAUUUGAAAACUAUAAAAUACAUUUACAAGAUAGAGUUCUAAGUUUGGAGGGAUAUUUGAUUAUAGUGCAAAUUAGUCUCUUCAUACAAAAUGGGGAUAUUAACAAUACCCACUUCCAUAUGUAAGAAUGUUUAGAUCCUCCCCCAGCCAGUGAAGCUCUUGUUGAUGUGUCAUUUGUCUCCUUUGUGUCUGCAAGAAGUUAUAAUUCACCAGGGAAGAUGGAAUUAACUCAAGAGACCUUGGAUGUCUGCUUGCUGCCUGUUUCUUCCAAGGAGCAGGGUGAAGGUUGCCGAACUGUCCCCCUGGCUGGACAUGUGGGGUUUGACAGCUUGCCUGACCAGCUGGUGAAUAAGUCAGUCAGCCAGGGCUUCUGCUUCAACAUCCUGUGCGUGGGAGAGACUGGUUUGGGCAAGUCCACCCUCAUGGACACCCUGUUCAACACAAAGUUUGAAGGGGAGCCAGCCACCCACACACAGCCAGGUGUCCAGCUUCGGUCCAAUACCUAUGACCUCCAAGAGAGCAAUGUGGGGCUAAAGCUCAUGAUCGUUAGCACGGUGGGCUUUGGGGACCAGAUCAACAAGGAGGACAGCUAUAAGCCCAUUGUGGAAUUCAUCGAUGCACAAUUCGAGGCCUACCUGCAGGAGGAGCUGAAGAUCCGAAGAGUGCUGCACACCUACUAUGACUCCCGAAUCCACGCCUGCUUGUAUUUCAUCGCCCCAACGGGUCAUUCCCUGAAGUCUCUGGACCUAGUGACAAUGAAGAAGCUUGACAGUAAGGUGAACAUCAUCCCCAUCAUUGCCAAAUCAGAUACCAUUUCUAAGAGUGAGCUAACGAAGUUCAAACUCAAAAUCACCAGCGAGCUUGUCAGCAACGGGGUCCAGAUCUAUCAGUUCCCUACAGAUGACGAGUCGGUGGCAGAGAUCAACAGAACCAUGAAUGCUCACCUGCCGUUUGCUGUCAUUGGCAGCACAGAAGAAGUGAAGAUAGGCAACAAGAUGAUGAAGGCACGGCAGUAUCCUUGGGGCACUGUGCAGGUUGAAAACGAGGCCCACUGUGACUUUGUGAAGCUGCGGGAGAUGCUGAUUCGGGUCAACAUGGAGGAUCUGCGGGAGCAGACCCACACCCGGCACUAUGAGCUGCACCGCCGCUGUAAGCUGGAGGAGAUGGGCUUCAAGGACACGGACCCUGACAACAAACCAUUCAGCUUGCAGGAGACAUAUGAGGCCAAAAGGAAUGAGUUCCUAGGGGAGCUCCAGAAAAAAGAAGAGGAGAUGAGACAGAUGUUCGUCCAGAGAGUCAAAGAGAAAGAAGCAGAACUCAAAGAGGCAGAGAAAGAGCUGCAUGAGAAGUUUGAUCGCCUGAAGAAACUGCACCAGGAUGAGAAGAAGAAGCUGGAGGAUAAGAAGAAAUCUCUGGACGAUGAAGUAAAUGCUUUUAAACAGAGAAAGACAGCAGCCGAGCUGCUCCAGUCCCAGGGUCCCCAGGCUGGAGGCUCACAGACUCUGAAGAGAGACAAAGAAAAGAAAAAUUAACCCUGCUGUUUGCUGCAUGCUGCAUGAGACCCAGGGUCCUGGUAAGCUUCGUUAACUCUAAAUAGAACUGGCUGUGGCUUCCAGAAAAUACCUUCCUUCAAUCUCACACUCCCAACACAUGUAUCUAAUUAUAAAAGAAGCUGUUUCAUUGGUAAAAAAAAAAAAAA